CACCCUGGGAAGAAACAAACAUAAACAAAGAGAAAAAGAAGGUUGGGUUUCAAUCAGGUUCAAAGAAGUGUUACGAUCCUCCUACACACAGCGAUCCAAACAGUUGUUUCUUUGCUUCAUGAAUCCCCGUGUGCCGAGACAACAGGUUAAAACAUGAAAAGUUAUGUCUUUCUUUUAAACAGCCUACUUUAAAGAAAUUCACACAUUAAUUAUUUAAAGGAUCUGCCUUAUGAAGCCCGUUACUCUGCAUUAACUCAACAGCAAACGUCUCUUUAGCCCUGAGCUCUGAAUUCAGUGACACGUUCUCAUCUCACUUAUUCCUUUCGUGACAUGACCUUGUCACUUCUGUGCUGAACAGAUGAGACGUCAACUGCUCCCUACGGGACUGUCAAUUUUGGUUCGAACAGACAAAGAAGAGGGAGGUUAACAUGUCACUCAUUAGUGCACGUUUUGAGUACAAGUAGUCGAGUUAGAACGCUAACAGCACUUCUGAUCACCCUGGUCUGAAAACAACCAAAAUAUGAUGCACAUUAAUUAGCAAGGCUACCGUUUAACCUCAUUAAUCUCAGACAGGGCCCACUUAGACAAGUAUACUUUUUAAUGAGGUCCGCCUAAUUUGCAUACAGGCUGUUUGCAGGAUUUUAGAGCUGCUACAUGCAUUACAACCUAACACAGUAUUAAAAUCUAAUGUGAGACUCGGAGUGGAUGAUAUGGUGUGAACGUCUAGUCUCCUUUGGCUAAAUAAAGCUUUGGCUCAAUUAUUUUGACCAGUUACAUAGAGUGAUGUGCCUGGAACGAUACAGGCCACAUGUCAAUAUACAGAGCUUAAAGUUGUGGUGCGCUCAUUUAUUCAGUACAUUUGCAGUGGUCUCUAGUAGGAAUGAACGCCUUGUAGUUGUACUCUUGGGGGGGGGGGGGACUCCGGUGCACCAGUUUCAGGAACGAGAUGUGAGCUGCAUCAGCUUCAGACGGCAGGAUUUGGAGUCUUAUUUCCUAGAUGCUUUCUCUGCCUGGAGGAGUUCUGCAGUGUGGUGGAGUUACUGAUGAUAAUGGUUAGCUUCUACUAGCCGAGACUGAUAUUCUAAGGCUGUGUCUCAAUUCAGGGUCUGCAUCCUAAAUCGGCCGGAUUCGUCGGCCGGUUACGUCACAGCGCCGCGACUAGGCCUGUCCCAAUUCGAAGACUCCUUCAAAUGCGGUCGACGAAUGCGGCCUUCUUUUCGCCUGAAUGAAGGAUGGGUCCGGUGUAUCCUUCAACAGGUAGCAUUUCCCAAGAUGCCUUGCGGGCCGGCCGGCAGAAAAACUUAAAAACAAUGGCGGACAGUGAAGCGGGAGCUGUCGGAGAGGAUUGCGCAUAUAAAUGAACAAAAGAGAAAACCAGGGAAUUUAUUAAGCUUAGGGCGGAGAUGGACCACAUGAUCACCGGAGCAAAGUAUUCGGCGGCUGUGGCAUGGAGACUAUUCUGGAGAAAAUGGGCAUCCAGGGGAAGGUGCCAGCGAUGACCAGCUUCUAGAGCUGAUCAGGGAGGACAUGAGGCUGC